UAUAUAAACUUAUUCAUACAUAAGUGCUUUAGUGAUUGAAGCAAAGUUUGUUGUGUGUGUUCUCAUUCUUCUAUCAGGACUUUAUUCUUUAACAAUCGUCUUUCUCUCUCUUCGUUUUUCUCUCUGAAGAAUCUCUCUUGGUUUUGGAGCGAUUACUCCCCCUUCAGGAUGACUGGUUGGACCAAUCAGAGGCAGGAGAACGCCAGAGGGGGUGGGGCUUGCAUGCAUAUGGAACCAAAAAGUGGAGAGCUGCACAGCGCCCCCUGUGGAGAGCUCAAGUUCUACAUCUGCUCCACCAGAGCCAGCUCUACAGUCGUCCCCAAGGACAACAAACCAGUUGAACCAGGCAUCAUCCCCAGUGUGAGUGUGUUUGAUGUUUUGUGGGGCUACAGCGACGUGCUGGCGGAGGAGAUCCUUCACUCGUCCUCCUUCCUCAAGGAGCUACAGUCCGGACAGCUGACGCAGCGCUGCUACGACAGCUUCACACAGCAGGAGGCGCUCUAUCUGCACAGAGUCAGCGGCACACUGGAGGCCUUGAUAAGUAGUUUACAGGAAGCAGAUGACAUGAGAUCACUGCUGCUGGACACACUUAAACACUACAGCGGCAGAAACCAGAGCCUCCUCGCUUCGCCUCCCCCACCGUGGCUCCGCCUCUCCCUCCAGUCCUUCCACUCAGUGGUUCUGGAAGAGCCGGUCUAUUGGCUGGUGGCUCUGUCGGCCCGCGCCUGCCUCCGUGACUUCCUGGCCGGGGAGCAGCUCUUCUCCGAGCUCAAGCCCGGCUCCCUGCUGGUGUCUGAGUCCAAGGUUAAAGCCGGCGGCCUCUACCAGGAGUGGAGGGAAGAGAGUCUGAAGGAGGUCGCUUGGACACAAAGGUACAGAAAGCUGAUAGAGGAACACCAGGAUCAGCUGGACGUGUUUAAAGCCAUAAACAUCUUCAGAGAGCAGAUGAUGAACCAGAAGAGUUUCUACAAGGCUGUAGCCUGUGAUGUAGAGGAUGAUAAAUGAUGAAGAGUAAGAAACAGACGUCCUCUCCACCAGGAUCAGAGAAAUAAUCCUCUACCUCCUCUUUGCUUGUAUUCCCAAUAGCUCGUGUCAAGAAUAGUGAUUUUAAAUUCAACUUGUUGAUGAAUGUAAGUGAAACCGUGCUUUACUGCAGUUUAACUCUGUAGCUGACUCCGGGUGUGACAGAAGAUGUUGGAUUGUUCCUUUUAAGCUGACUAGGCUUAUUUUAAAGGACCAGUGUGGAGGAUUUAGUGGCAGCUAGCGGUGAAGAUCGCUCGCCAUCCAAACGUGUAGCAGAAACUACGGUAGCCUGUGAAACUCGUAAAAAGA
rnacentral:lncRNA from 15 species